AGGCAUUUGGAGAAAAACAACGUCUGCUUGCAUUUUACUUCUGCAAAUUAGACUCUGUUGUGUGCAGGCCGGUGUAGCUGCAGCAGAGGCAGUAAAAAGUCAGCUGACAUUGUUUUAGGACACACUUUAAUCAUCAAAGUGCCCCAUGCAGUGACUUCAAUUUUAAAUCUAAGCCAAUUUGUCUUACCUGACACAUGUGAGACAACUCUCAAAUGUUGGACACUUAUUGUCGCUAUAUGGAAAGUUCAACAAAGAGUUUGGUUAGUCUGGAGAAACAAGAAAUAUGUGUGCCUGUGGUAUGUGUAACAGGAACUACAUGCCCAUAAAAGGAGCUGACUGUGUCAAGGACGCAGACAGACAGAGAGACACACAGACAGUUAGUAUGUUUUUUCAGCAGAUCAAGCCGCAAAAGCAGCGGCACAACAAACAAUAGACACAUUAAUGUCUGAAUCCUCAAUGCAAAUACCACUUGAUGUGCUUAAAAACGAACAAAAAGCCGCACCAACUGCAGAACAAAAGAAAUGGUUAAAAUGUGGUGCACAGCUAAAAAAUGAUUUGAUGACCUGUAAUGGUAAUCCAAUACUACCAAAAUCCCUACACAAAACAGCAGCAUUAGUGACACACGAACAUGCAUGAUUUGCCAAAAACAUAAUGCACAGGGAAACCUCAGACCAAGAAGAAGUAACUUUCCCACACCACCUCACCCAUUUCAUACCAUUCACAUGGAUUUUAUUGAGCUAAUGAAGCCAAGGUUCAAAAAUAUGCUCUAGUGAUUAUAGACGUGUUCUCAAAAUGGCCAGAAAUUUAUCCUGUGAAAAAGGCAGAUGCAAUCUCUGUAGCAAAAUGCCUAUGCAGCCAUUUUGUUCCAACAUAUGGCAUCCCCACUCUAAGAUCAGACAAUGGGACACAUUUUGUUAAUGAAGUAAUCAGCAAGGUCUCUGAAGCACUAGGAUUCAGUAUCAAACACCACUGUGCUUACCACCCUCAAAGUGCUGGACUCGUGGAAAGAACUAACGGCACGAUAAAACAGAGACUGAGAAAAUGCAUGGAAGAAAUAGGGAGACUAUGGGCUGAGUGUAAAGGUCUAGUGAAAAUGUGGAUGAGAUUAACACAAGGCAGGCUCACAAAAAUUGACGCCAUUUGAAAUAAUUCAUGGAAGACCUUUUCCCACUACUAAUACUGAGUGAACCAGUAAACAAAUCAGCUAGAGAGACUACUCUAGCAGAGUGGAUGGCAAAGUGCUAGAAAAUACAGAAACUGUGUUGAACAACAAACUGCUGUGUGACUCUUCAGGUGAUUGGAUCCUGAUAAGGGUGCUCCAGAGGGAAAAAAUGGGAGCUCACCUCGUUGGGAAGGACCCUACCAAGUACUCCUGACCACACUAACAGCCUGCAAAAUAGCAGAAAGACCAUCCUGGAUCCAUCAAAGCCACUGUAAAAGAGUGAGUGACAGCAUAGACUAACCGGACACUGACUUCCUUACCCUCGGGUGAUUUGUCAGGUGAAGGAAGUGCCGAUUGGGUAUAUCCCGCACUUUUUCUUCUUGCCUAAGUCCCCUGAGACGUGAGGUAAGCCAGGUAAACAUGAAGUCGCUCUUAAUCUCACUAACUCUGACAGUCCUAGUGGCAGGAUGUCUCAUCCCACUGAAGAUGGAUCCGAGGGAACGAACAAAGAAAGCUUGGACACAUGACAACUCACACCUGGACAA